GGAAAUCUUAGUGGGGUUGAUGGUGGCAGCCUCACAGUCCUCUGACUCGUGCUACUCACCAAUCCAGUUUGUAGAAAUGGUUGCAGCAUUGCAGUCGAGGUGAUGAUGGAAAUCUUAGUGGAGUGAUAGUGGGAGCCCUACACUCAUCUGACUCAUGCUUGAUGCUACUCAUCGAUCCAGUUUGGACAGUAAAACUUGAAUCAUGAUCUCGUUAAUCAUAGGAGUCUAGAGUGCUACUUAUUGAAUUCGAUUGUGCUGGUGUGAACCCUUUGAUUCCACAUGCUGUGUCACUUUCCAUUAUGUCAUUUAAGGUAGA
rnacentral:misc_RNA from 1 species